AGUAUAAAGAGAGAAGCGAAACUGUUAUACAAGUAUCAAUCCUCUUCGAGAAGUUAGGUUGGAUGAUUUCUAAAUGAGCCGCUUUGCGCAUAAAGUCAAGAACUGUACACGGCAAGGUAGAAUAGUCGACCGACUCAUUGUAUGUAUUGGUGAUCACAUAAUCGGUUUCGUUUUUAGUAGUUCAGUUCAGUUCAGCCUUCAUUGCGACAGGUCGGCCACCAAGGCCAAAGUGUAAAUUGUAGUAAAUGUAGUGUAGUAAAAGUAGUAAAAGUAGUAAAAUAUAGUUUGAUUUAGUAAAAGUGCUGAAAUCGGUUUUACUUACCUGGUGCUGCGAUCCUCGUCUUUGGUUGGCUACUACUUACCCGGGGAAUUACUUACCUGUAGAUGCACUGGCCGGUUGAUACACUGCUGCAGUUGAGACCUGAAAGGAAAGGUACAAAAGAAGGAGAACUGUCCGCGUAUUUGGCCUCGGACGUUUUAUUUGAACCGGAACACACCAGGUUGACGAAUUUUUUUAAGGGCGCAACCAACUCGGGCCAAAAAUGUUCUGCCGGGUCCGCUCAGAGAGCUUUUCGUAGGACUAUUCCGUUAACAAAUGUUAGCACUAAUGUAAUUUGUGCAGUUCUACGGCCGGGCAAUUCCACUGCCUUGCAUUCAUCAGACACCGGCGAGAGGACCAGUUGAAAGAUUCGUUUUGUGCGCCGUUCGCAUCGAAGAAGUGACAAUUUUUUGUGACAAUAUUAAACAGUCCUUUUCAGAAUAAAAAAA